rnacentral:rRNA from 1 species
AUGAGGGACCAGGAACAUUGGACUAAGAUGCAUGGCAUUGCUGUAUGUCCACCAGUGUACAUUAAGGUAAUGGGGAGACCAAGGAGGAAUAGAAAGAAAGAUCUAGAGGAGAAGUUGAUGAAAGGAGGGGAAAAGUUUACUAAGCAUGGUGUAACCAUGCACUGCUCUCUUUGUGGAAGUGCAGAUCACAACAAGGAAGGCCACAAGAAGUGGGAGGAGACCACAAGAGAUGCUCCUCAACCUACAAAUGUUGCAGAUGAUGAAGAAGAAGAGUAUGAUGAUCCUAUAAUCAUUUCUAACAUAAUGCCACACACAGUCCAUCCACAUAUGGAUCCAAGUCAAACCCCCAGGGUCCAUGGUUUUCCUCAUGCAGCAAAUGGAGAGGAGAGUGUACCAAACAAGUAUGGAUCAUGGACCUUCCAGAAUCAUCAUUUGCCGCACAAGCAAGAAAUGACAUACCCCCUCCUAGGGUUACAACUGCUAUGUCAAGAGGUAGUGUUAGAAGAAGAGGAGUCACUGAAGACAUUCUAG